rnacentral:lncRNA from 1 species
UUUGACGCAAGUUAAUUUUAACAACGAAAUCUUAUAAAAAAAAUACUAACAAUAGAAACCAAAAAAAUAGAAUUAAAUGAGAAAAGAAUUGAAAAGACUGAAAAUUUAUCGGGGCUUGCAAGGAUUGUUGUCAAUUCUGCUCAAAUAUGGAGUUCGUUUAAAUUCCUGCGAGGUUCAAGCCUCUACUUUUCCGUUAGAUAUCGGAUCUGAAGGUGGGACGGUUCAAUAUUUUCGAAGUUGGUGAUCAAAAUUGCAGAAGUCAACAUGGCAAAAGUUGCGGAGCUAUAAUCGAGAUGACGUAGUAGUAUGUCGGCAUCGUAUUGGCAUC